CGGGGUGAGUAACGCGUGGAGAACCUGCCGUAUACUGGGGGAUAACACUUAGAAAUAGGUGCUAAUACCGCAUAAGCGCACAGCUUCGCAUGAAGCAGUGUGAAAAACUCCGGUGGUAUACGAUGGAUCCGCGUCUGAUUAGCUGGUUGGCGGGGUAAAGGCCCACCAAGGCGACGAUCAGUAGCCGGCCUGAGAGGGUGAACGGCCACAUUGGGACUGAGACACGGCCCAAACUCCUACGGAAGGCAGCAG
rnacentral:rRNA from 1 species